AGGGUUUUCAACCACAUCAAGUAUUGGUGUAGAAACUUUCUCCCAAAAGAUAUCAUCAAGAUCAGGUACUGAACAUAUUCGACUGACAAAUCCCUUGGAAUUGUUGAUGGCAGCAAUUCUUGAAAAUCCCACUUUAUAAGGAAACUUGGAGCUUGAAAUAUCCAACUUGUGACCAAAAUUUCCAUAGGAAUGUGCAGUNNNNNNNNNNNNNGUGAUUCCAUAUGGGCACUGAGUAGUAGCAGUUCCCAUCAGUUCACACAGAGACCCAGCUACUCAAAAUUUAGUGUGAUUCAAAAUAAAUGAUUUGGG
rnacentral:misc_RNA from 1 species